rnacentral:rRNA from 1 species
GACGAACGCUGGCGGCGUGCUUAACACAUGCAAGUCGAACGAUGACGCCCGAGCUUGCUCGGUCUGAUUAGUGGCGAACGGGUGAGUAACACGUGAGCAACCUGCCCUUCACUCUGGGAUAACCUCGGGAAAUCGGGGCUAAUACCGGAUAUGAGCUCCUGUCGCAUGGCGGGUGUUGGAAAGUUUUUCGGUGAAGGGUGGGCUCGCGGCCUAUCAGUUUGUUGGUGAGGUAGUGGCUCACCAAGGCGAUGACGGGUAGCCGGCCUGAGAGGGCGACCGGCCACACUGGGAAUGAGAAAAGGCCCAGGCCUCCACGGGGGGCAGCAGUGGGGAAUUUUGCACAAUGGGCGAAAGCCGUAUGCAGCGACGCCGCGGGGGGGAAGACGGCCUUCGGGUUGUAAACCUUUUUCCGCAGGGAAGAAGCGAAAGUGGCGGGACCUGCAGAAGGAGCGCCGGCUAACUACGU